CGAAUAGGGUGGCAAGUGGCAUGUCCUGGACCCGAAGCGGGGUGAUCUACCCAUGGCCAGUGUGAAGCAGCUGUAAGAGGUUGUGGAGGCGCGAACCCACGUAGGUUAAAAACUGCGGGGAUGAGCUGUGGGUAGGGGUGAAAGGCCAAUCAAACUGGGAGAUAGCUCGUACUCCCCGAAAUGCAUUUAGGUGCAGCGUUGCGACAAGUUUAUUAGAGGUAGAGCUACUGAUUGGAUGCGGGGGUUUCAUCGCCUACCAAUUCCUGACAAACUCCGAAUGCUAAUAAAUGUUUCGCAGCAGUGAGGGCAUGGGUGCUAAGGUCCAUGUCCGAGAGGGAAAGAACCCAGACCAACAGCUAAGGUCCCCAAAUAUAUGCUAAGUUGAAACAACGCGGUUGGACUGCAUUGACAGCUAGGAUGUUGGCUUGGAAGCAGCCAUUCAUUUAAAGAGUGCGUAACAGCUCACUAGUCGAGCGGUUCGGCAUGGAUAAUAAUCGGGCAUAAGCAUAUUACCGAAGCUAUGGAUUUGUACAAUAGUACAUCUGGUAGGGGAGCAUUCUAUUUGCGCCGAAGCAGUAUCGCGAGGUAUUGUGGAGCGGAUAGAAAAGAAAAUGUAGGCAUAAGUAACGAUAAAGGGGGCGAGAAACCCCCUCACCGAAAGACUAAGGUUUCCUCAGCCAUGCUAAUCAGCUGAGGGUUAGUCGGGGCCUAACGCGAACCCGAAAGGGGUAGUGGAUGGACAACGGGUUAAUAUUCCCGCACCUGUAU
rnacentral:rRNA from 1 species